rnacentral:rRNA from 1 species
CAGCAGCCGCGGUAAUACGGAGGAUCCGAGCGUUAUCCGGAUUUAUUGGGUUUAAAGGGAGCGUAGAUGGAUGUUUAAGUCAGUUGUGAAAGUUUGCGGCUCAACCGUAAAAUUGCAGUUGAUACUGGAUAUCUUGAGUGCAGUUGAGGCAGGCGGAAUUCGUGGUGUAGCGGUGAAAUGCUUAGAUAUCACGAAGAACUCCGAUUGCGAAGGCAGCCUGCUAAGCUGCAACUGACAUUGAGGCUCGAAAGUGUGGGUAUCAAACAGGAUUAGAUACCCUGGUAGUCCACACGGUA